rnacentral:rRNA from 1 species
GAUGAACGCUAGCGGCAGGCCUAACACAUGCAAGUCGAGGGAGAGGUUACCUUCGGGUAACCAAAACCGGCGCACGGGUGCGUAACGCGUAUACAAUCUGCCUUUCACAUAGGGAUAGCCCGAAGAAAUUUGGAUUAAUACCUAAUGGUAUAUAAGAGCGGCAUCGUUUUUAUAUUAAAGCUACGGUGGUGAAAGAUGAGUAUGCGUUCUAUUAGCUAGUUGGAGAGGUAACGGCUCCCCAAGGCGACGAUAGAUAGGGGUUCUGAGAGGGAUGUCCCCCACACUGGUACUGAGAUACGGACCAGACUCCUACGGGAGGCAGCAGUGAGGAAUAUUGGACAAUGGUCGGAAGACUGAUCCAGCCAUGCCGCGUGCAGGAUGAAGGUCCUAUGGAUUGUAAACUGCUUUUGUAAGGGAAGAAUAAGGAGUACGUGUACUUUGAUGACGGUACCUUACGAAUAGCAUCGGCUAACUCCGUG